rnacentral:rRNA from 1 species
GAUGAACGCUGGCGGCGUGCCUAAUACAUGCAAGUCGAGCGAACAGACGAGGAGCUUGCUCCUCUGACGUUAGCGGCGGACGGGUGAGUAACACGUGGAUAACCUACCUAUAAGACUGGGAUAACUUCGGGAAACCUGAGCUAAUACCGGAUAAUAUAUUGAACCGCAUGGUUCAAUAGUGAAAGACGGUUUUCCUGUCACUUAUAGAUGGAUCCGCGCCGCAUUAGCUAGUUGGUAAGGUAACGGCUUACCAAGGCAACGAUGCGUAGCCGACCUGAGAGGGUGAUCGGCCACACUGGAACUGAGACACGGUCCUGACUCCUACGGGAGGCAGCAGUAGGGAAUCUUGCGCAAUGGGCGAAAGCAUGACGGAGCAACGCCGCGUGAGUGAUGAAGGUCUUCGGAUCGUAAAACUCUGUUAUUAGGGAAGAACAAAUUUGUAAGUAACUAUGCACGUCUUGACGGUACCUGAUCAGAAAGCCACGGCUAACUACGUG